rnacentral:rRNA from 1 species
ACUAAGCGUACACGGUGGAUGCCCUGGCAGUCAGAGGCGAUGAAGGACGUGCUAAUCUGCGAUAAGCGUCGGUAAGGUGAUAUGAACCGUUAUAACCGGCGAUUUCCGAAUGGGGAAACCCAGUGUGAUUCGUCACACUAUCAUUAACUGAAUCCAUAGGUUAAUGAGGCGAACCGGGGAACUGAAACAUCUAAGUACCCCGAGGAAAAGAAAUCAACCGAGAUUCCCCCAGUAGCGGCGAGCGAACGGGGAGCAGCCCAGAGCCUGAAUCAGUGUGUGUGUUAGUGGAAGCGUCUGGAAAGGCGCGCGAUACAGGGUGACAGCCCCGUACACAAAAAUGCACAUGCUGUGAGCUCGAUGAGUAGGGCGGGACACGUGGUAUCCUGUCUGAAUAUGGGGGGACCAUCCUCCAAGGCUAAAUACUCCUGACUGACCGAUAGUGAACCAGUACCGUGAGGGAAAGGCGAAAAGAACCCCGGCGAGGGGAGUGAAAAAGAACCUGAAACCGUGUACGUACAAGCAGUGGGAGCACGCUUAGGCGUGUGACUGCGUACCUUUUGUAUAAUGGGUCAGCGACUUAUAUUCUGUAGCAAGGUUAACCGAAUAGGGGAGCCGAAGGGAAACCGAGUCUUAACUGGGCGUUAAGUUGCAGGGUAUAGACCCGAAACCCGGUGAUCUAGCCAUGGGCAGGUUGAAGGUUGGGUAACACUAACUGGAGGACCGAACCGACUAAUGUUGAAAAAUUAGCGGAUGACUUGUGGCUGGGGGUGAAAGGCCAAUCAAACCGGGAGAUAGCUGGUUCUCCCCGAAAGCUAUUUAGGUAGCGCCUCGUGAAUUCAUCUCCGGGGGUAGAGCACUGUUUCGGCAAGGGGGUCAUCCCGACUUACCAACCCGAUGCAAACUGCGAAUACCGGAGAAUGUUAUCACGGGAGACACACGGCGGGUGCUAACGUCCGUCGUGAAGAGGGAAACAACCCAGACCGCCAGCUAAGGUCCCAAAGUCAUGGUUAAGUGGGAAACGAUGUGGGAAGGCCCAGAUAGCCAGGAUGUUGGCUUAGAAGCAGCCAUCAUUUAAAGAAAGCGUAAUAGCUCACUGGUCGAGUCGGCCUGCGCGGAAGAUGUAACGGGGCUAAACCAUGCACCGAAGCUGCGGCAGCGACACUGUGUGUUGUUGGGUAGGGGAGCGUUCUGUAAGCCUGCGAAGGUGUGCUGUGAGGCAUGCUGGAGGUAUCAGAAGUGCGAAUGCUGACAUAAGUAACGAUAAAGCGGGUGAAAAGCCCGCUCGCCGGAAGACCAAGGGUUCCUGUCCAACGUUAAUCGGGGCAGGGUGAGUCGACCCCUAAGGCGAGGCCGAAAGGCGUAGUCGAUGGGAAACAGGUUAAUAUUCCUGUACUUGGUGUUACUGCGAAGGGGGGACGGAGAAGGCUAUGUUGGCCGGGCGACGGUUGUCCCGGUUUAAGCGUGUAGGCUGGUUUUCCAGGCAAAUCCGGAAAAUCAAGGCUGAGGCGUGAUGACGAGGCACUACGGUGCUGAAGCAACAAAUGCCCUGCUUCCAGGAAAAGCCUCUAAGCAUCAGGUAACAUCAAAUCGUACCCCAAACCGACACAGGUGGUCAGGUAGAGAAUACCAAGGCGCUUGAGAGAACUCGGGUGAAGGAACUAGGCAAAAUGGUGCCGUAACUUCGGGAGAAGGCACGCUGAUACGUAGGUGAAGUCCCUCGCGGAUGGAGCUGAAAUCAGUCGAAGAUACCAGCUGGCUGCAACUGUUUAUUAAAAACACAGCACUGUGCAAACACGAAAGUGGACGUAUACGGUGUGACGCCUGCCCGGUGCCGGAAGGUUAAUUGAUGGGGUCAGCGCAAGCGAAGCUCUUGAUCGAAGCCCCGGUAAACGGCGGCCGUAACUAUAACGGUCCUAAGGUAGCGAAAUUCCUUGUCGGGUAAGUUCCGACCUGCACGAAUGGCGUAAUGAUGGCCAGGCUGUCUCCACCCGAGACUCAGUGAAAUUGAACUCGCUGUGAAGAUGCAGUGUACCCGCGGCAAGACGGAAAGACCCCGUGAACCUUUACUAUAGCUUGACACUGAACAUUGAGCCUUGAUGUGUAGGAUAGGUGGGAGGCUUUGAAGUGUGGACGCCAGUCUGCAUGGAGCCGACCUUGAAAUACCACCCUUUAAUGUUUGAUGUUCUAACGUUGACCCGUAAUCCGGGUUGCGGACAGUGUCUGGUGGGUAGUUUGACUGGGGCGGUCUCCUCCUAAAGAGUAACGGAGGAGCACGAAGGUUGGCUAAUCCUGGUCGGACAUCAGGAGGUUAGUGCAAUGGCAUAAGCCAGCUUGACUGCGAGCGUGACGGCGCGAGCAGGUGCGAAAGCAGGUCAUAGUGAUCCGGUGGUUCUGAAUGGAAGGGCCAUCGCUCAACGGAUAAAAGGUACUCCGGGGAUAACAGGCUGAUACCGCCCAAGAGUUCAUAUCGACGGCGGUGUUUGGCACCUCGAUGUCGGCUCAUCACAUCCUGGGGCUGAAGUAGGUCCCAAGGGUAUGGCUGUUCGCCAUUUAAAGUGGUACGCGAGCUGGGUUUAGAACGUCGUGAGACAGUUCGGUCCCUAUCUGCCGUGGGCGCUGGAGAACUGAGGGGGGCUGCUCCUAGUACGAGAGGACCGGAGUGGACGCAUCACUGGUGUUCGGGUUGUCAUGCCAAUGGCACUGCCCGGUAGCUAAAUGCGGAAGAGAUAAGUGCUGAAAGCAUCUAAGCACGAAACUUGCCCCGAGAUGAGUUCUCCCUGACUCCUUGAGAGUCCUGAAGGAACGUUGAAGACGACGACGUUGAUAGGCCGGAUGUGUAAGCGCAGCGAUGCGUUGAGCUAACCGGUACUAAUGAACCGUGAGGCUUAACC